rnacentral:antisense_RNA from 1 species
AGACGCCGUUCAACAUCACACAUUUUAAUGAAUCUGGUAACAUGUGAUGAAGGAUUUGCUAAGCUAGUAACACGAUGUUUUAAGUUCUACCCAAUACCAAACCUGUGCUCCCGACGAUACCUAUCAGAACAGCACAGGUUACCAAUUUCCCUGGUGUUGGCGCAGUCUUCGCGCACCCCGGCUUCGGUCGGGGUCAUUUUUUUU